rnacentral:piRNA from 1 species
UAUACCCUUAUGAUACCUGCCUUGAGCUC